GAUGAACGCUAGCUACAGGCUUAACACAUGCAAGUCGAGGGGUAGCAGGGUAGCAAUACCGCUGACGACCGGCGCACGGGUGAGUAACACGUAUCCAACCUUCCCAUAACUCGGGGAUAGCCUUUCGAAAGAAAGAUUAAUACCGGAUGGUACUUUUUCAAGGCAUCUUGAGAAAGUUAAAGAUUUAUUGGUUAUGGAUGGGGAUGCGUUCCAUUAGAUAGUUGGUGAGGUAACGGCUCACCAAGUCUUCGAUGGAUAGGGGUUCUGAGAGGAAGGUCCCCCACAUUGGUACUGAGACACGGACCAAACUCCUACGGGAGGCAGCAGUGAGGAAUAUUGGUCAAUGGGCGAGAGCCUGAACCGGCCAAGUAGCGUGAAGGAUGAAGGUCCUAUGGAUUGUGAACUUCUUUUAUAGUAGAAUAAAGUGAUCCACGUGUGGAUUUUUGUAUGUAUACUAUGAAUAAGGAUCGGCUAACUCCGUGCCAGCCGCCGCGGUAA
rnacentral:rRNA from 1 species